rnacentral:tRNA from 1 species
GAGGGUAUAGCUCAAGUGGUAGAGUGCAUGUUUAGCAUGCACGAGGUCCUGGGUUCAAUCCCCGGUACCUCUG